rnacentral:rRNA from 1 species
CGAAAGCCUGACGGAGCAAGACCGCGUGGGGGAAGAAGGCUCUUGGGUUGUAAACCCCUUUUCUCUGGGAAGAAAGUUGUGAAAGCAACCUGACGGUACCAGAGGAAUCAGCAUCGGCUAACUCCGUGCCAGCAGCCGCGGUAAGACGGAGGAUGCAAGCGUUAUCCGGAAUGAUUGGGCGUAAAGCGUCCGCAGGUGGCAGUUCAAGUCUGCUGUCAAAGACCGGGGCUUAACUUCGGAAAGGCAGUGGAAACUGAACAGCUAGAGUAUGGUAGGGGCAGAGGGAAUUCCUGGUGUAGCGGUGAAAUGCGUAGAGAUCAGGAAGAACAUCGGUGGCGAAGGCGCUCUGCUGGACCAUAACUGACGCUCAUGGACGAAAGCUAGGGGAGCG